UACUGCAAAUAAAUAUUUUGCCAAGAACAUUCAUCUGGUUGGGCCAGCUGAAGGUUUGGAACAUUCUGAGUAAUGCAAACAAGUCCUAAUUGAACCUAUAAUGAUUGAAGUUGUAACAGAUACUACAUAACAGCGCCAGCUGAUAACAGCUAGCAGUGCUUACUGCUAACACGAAGAGCUUCACAAAUGAUGCAGUCACACUUUCUGUGCAAGAAGUACGAGAAAAGUGAGAGCAAGGCAAAACAAGAUUGCCACACACAUCCCAGUUUACAGCUCUGGGUCACGCAGCAGUUCACAUGACAGGUCAUGACAACACACGUACCCCACACAGUGCAGGACUGUGAUGGACAAAUCAUGGGAACGCAACACCUGAAGGAGUUAGUUAUAGUGCUCGAGAAAGAAUAACAAGAAAGGCAAUUUGACAAGCACUCUGAUGCUCCUUCAGUUGGUAAAGGUCUUUCUAUGUGCUUACUUCACAGAUACGCAUGAGAGCACAACAUCCCACCUCCUCAUCAUAUGACUCCAAGGACAUUCUGUUGCCAGGAUGCUGCGGCAUUCUCUACCUAAUUUUGUUGUUACGUGGGACAGCACUGGCCUGGGAGACCAGAAUAUUCUCUUUUGUGUGAUGUGCAAUAACUCAAAUUCAUAUAGACAUUUACACACAGAAUGCUGCUACUAAUAAACUGUUUUUUAUAUCAUAAA